AACGAACGCUGGCGGCAUGCCUAACACAUGCAAGUCGAACGAGACCUUCGGGUCUAGUGGCGCACGGGUGCGUAACGCGUGGGAACCUGCCUUUAGGUUCGGAAUAACUCAGAGAAAUUUGAGCUAAUACCGGAUAAUGUCUUCGGACCAAAGAUUUAUCGCCUUUAGAUGGGCCCGCGUAGGAUUAGCUAGUUGGUGGGGUAAAGGCCUACCAAGGCGACGAUCCUUAGCUGGUCUGAGAGGAUGAUCAGCCACACUGGGACUGAGACACGGCCCAGACUCCUACGGGAGGCAGCAGUGGGGAAUAUUGGACAAUGGGCGAAAGCCUGAUCCAGCAAUGCCGCGUGAGUGAUGAAGGCCUUAGGGUUGUAAAGCUCUUUUACCAGGGAUGAUAAUGACAGUACCUGGAGAAUAAGCUCCGGCUAACUCCGUGCCAGCCGCCGCGGUAA
rnacentral:rRNA from 1 species